rnacentral:rRNA from 1 species
CAGUCGCCGCGGUAAAACGUAGGGUGCAAGCGUUAAUCGGAAUUACUGGGCGUAAAGCGUGCGCAGGCGGUUAUAUAAGACAGAUGUGAAAUCCCCGGGCUCAACCUGGGAACUGCAUUUGUGACUGUAUAGCUAGAGUACGGCAGAGGGGGAUGGAAUUCCGCGUGUAGCAGUGAAAUGCGUAGAUAUGCGGAGGAACACCGAUGGCGAAGGCAAUCCCCUGGGCCUGUACUGACGCUCAUGCACGAAAGCGUGGGGAGCAAACAGGAUUAGAGACCCCUGUAGUCCCUGUCUCUUAUCC